rfam:Dehalococcoidia bacterium SM23_28_1 WORSMTZ_39314, whole genome shotgun sequence.
GCAAAAGCGACGAGCAGGAGUAGUAAGCGCCUCUCCCUCGCCAGAGAGCUGACGGCGGCUGCGAGUCAGCAAGGGGGAAGGCGCCGAACUCGCCUGGGAGCAGCGCCGGCGAAGGGCCAGUAGCCGGCGACGGGCAGCGCCCGUUACAGCGCCCCCGAGCGCCCCGACCUGUCGGGGAAGCAGGGUGGUAUCGCGGAGAGGCCCUCCGUCCCUGUG